rnacentral:sRNA from 1 species
CUGACAGCACUAGGGAUCCCAAUCCUUUGUUCACUGAACAGGGAUCGUAUCCCACCAGUAGUGUAAGGUUCCCCAUACUUUUUGGCCAAUGAACCUUCUCCGUGUUCCGGAAGAAACACUUCCAGAGGUGAAAGGGUAGUUCAAUAUCCAGGCCCAUUCAGUCCUUGGUCUUCC